AAGAAAGUAUCCAUGAUUAGGUUAAAAAAAUUUUGCACUAGCAUUUUGUUGAGGAUUUCUGAACGUUCGCUGGAGACCGGAGUGAAGACGUUGAUGGUCAGUAACAAGCAUUUUCUGUGAUGGAUCAUGACUUGGAAAUAGAGAUGGAGGUUACUUGUAACCGAUGAUCAUAAAUGACCCCGAACUGUUGAAGAAUCUUUCGCAAAUUGUUUUUAGUGAAAUUUAAAUAUAUUUGUAGUAUUUUUUUGUUUUUUUUUUGUGUGGUUCCUCCUUGUUUUUUCGUAUGAUUUCCCCUUACGAAAAUUCAGUUCUUUAUAAACUGAAUUUUCGUAAUUUAAGCAUGGAGUGAUGUAACAGUUGCACUUGUUAGCAGUUAUUUAUUUAUUUAUUUCGGUUUUUCCGUUCGUCUUUAAAUGUAAUUCGAUCUCCGUUACCACGGUAAUCAAUGUAGGUGAUGUUAGCCCUCACGAUCGUUGGUAACUAUCGUUACUGGUUUAAGACCUGGAGAGAGAAUUUCGCUGAGGUCGCUCAUAUGUUGAAUCCUUCGGGAAGACGGAAAGGGACGGUCAGAGCCAUUGCCGACCGCUAGAGUGGGACGGGAACUCAGAUCUUUAAAGAUCCGAAGAAGCCCGAGGCAAUCUCCGGGAAACGACGUACCAAAAGUACGUCUGGGGCCACUUUCCCCGUUCUGAGGAACCUAGUACUCGUUCACUUUGUCCCAGACCUUUGUGAAGUGUGGAGUGCGCGGACUUUUAUCCCGGGUUCCCCUGUCCAGUCCUGAGAUCUCGUCGAAGUUAGAAGUUUGUGUGUGCGAAGAAGUUAGCCUAGUGCGCGGCCUAGCUAGAGAUCAGGUAAACCGUUACCCCGUGCGAAUUAUCCCCGUGCAUGUGCUAACCUCAUUCGCGAAAUUCGAAGGCUUCGCUUCUCUCGCCCUACCAGCUAAGCAGCACCAGAAGGAGAUCGAGCGCGCGUCCACCACCGCCCCGCAUCGAGUGUGGGACAAGUUUUGACCCGGCACACGCUACAUCGCCGGAAGAGACGAGCCGUCAACAUCUCGUCUGGAGGCGGUCCAUCCACCCACGUGCUGGCCCGGAAAGCCAAGUCCCGGCCCGCGCAACAUCAUCGAAGUCGACCGCGCAACCGCAGGUCGAACCGACAUCGUCGUCCACGUCGGCUACGAGCACGCGGCGAGGAACCGCAGCAGCAGCAUCAUCAAGUAACAGGAGCAGCAGUCCGGUGAGUCCGUUCUUUUUCUGCGGGUGAAGGGUGACGGCCACAGAAGGCGUCACGAACGUUUUUCCGUUCCGGCUGCGGCCGUAGAGCGGACGCCAUUUUGAUGGAGGGCGUCCAUUUUGUUUAAGCGCGUGUUGCCAUGCGCUCGGAGUGUGACGGCUUUUAUUGACACGCCCCACACGUCCACGAAACAGCACUUUAGUGCCUUUUGUCUGCCGCAGUCCGCUUGACUGCCGGUGACGUCAGCGAUCAGCUGUUCCAGCUGACGAGCUGAAGAUUUGAGGAGAGAGCACAAAAGCACGGGGUAACAGAAGAACGAAGAGUAGACAGUAGGGAGAGCAAACGCACACAGUAGGGAGAUGUCUAGACGCUAGAACAGAACAAUGAAUGAAAUACACAAAUGUUAGACUAGUCCAAUAAACGAGCACCUCUUUUUGAUUCCCUGCCAACUAAAUUAUGAGUGAUUAUUUUGGAGAUCAAUAAAAGUCCCUGCAGUUAAAAUGAG